UGGUGAAGCUUUUCCGUAAUGCGACGGAGUUCCUUCCCGGACUCGUAAUUGCACCUCGUUUACAUUUUUUUCUGACAUUUCCAGAUAUUGUGCGCCACUUCGGAGGUAGCAGCACCAGACACAUCUCCUUUUUGUUGAUUUAUUAUGUUUUUUGUUUUUGUUUUUUGUUUUUGGAAAGGAGCAGACUAAGGAGGAAAAAAAAAAAAGGCCAAGAGGCAUGGAAUAGAAAGUACAGAUGCAAGCUGUUUUGCUAAUUUUUAAGUAACCACAACACGGUAGGACAAAGAAUGCCCUGCACAAAGCAGGGCGAUAAAGGUUCACAAAACAGAGAUCGAAGUGUUCUCUUAGGCAAGCCUCAAGAUCUCAGCCUCUGUGUGGUUUCUGAAUCCUGAAUGGACCCUGAGUAAUAUAUAACCUUCAGAGUUAUGCCUCUAUCAACCCCAGUUGUACUCCAUGGAAACUGAGGAGGUACUGAAGUGCACAAAAGCCAGUACUAGAAUCCAGAAUCGUCCAGAUCAAGUUGACAGCAGUGGUGAGUUGAGAACAAGAGGCUUGGUGAUACAUGGCUUAGAGUGAUAUGGGAGGUAAAGGUUGUUGAGUUGCUCUGCUGAAGGUGGUUUACUGGUGUAGGAAUGGUUGCCAACUUCAAGGGUUCUAUUCUGCCCAGUACAUUUACCGAUCUGGGUAUCAAGGUUCUGGAAGAGCAACAGAAAGGGUUACAGUAGAUUUCUGAUUUGUAAUCCGGUCCAUAUUGGCUUUAUUUGAAUGUCACAGUGGCUGAUACAAUGAGUGGGAAGCCAGAAAGAUGAUUCCGGAUUCUGGCUCUUCUCCAAGUCAGA